rnacentral:rRNA from 1 species
AUUGAACGCUGGCGGCGUGCCUAACACAUGCAAGUCGAUCGGUAACAGGUGUAGCAAUACAUGCUGACGAGAGGCGGACGGGUGAGGAAUAUUUGGGAAUCUGCCCAUCAGCGGGGGACAACCCGGGGAAACUCGGGCUAAUACCGCAUACGCUCUACGGAGGAAAGCCGGGGACCGCAAGGCCUGGCACUGAUGGAUGAGCCCAAAUCGGAUUAGCUAGUUGGCGGGGUAACGGCCCACCAAGGCGACGAUCCGUAGCUGGUCUGAGAGGACGAUCAGCCACACCGGAACUGAGACACGGUCCGGACUCCUACGGGAGGCAGCAGUGGGGAAUAUUGGACAAUGGGGGAAACCCUGAUCCAGCGACGCCGCGUGGGUGAAGAAGGCCUGCGGGUUGUAAAGCCCUUUCGGUAGGGAAGAAAUCUCUUGUCUUAACACGGCAGGAGUUUGACUUAACCUACAUAAGAAGCACCGGCUAACUCUGUGCCAGCCGCCGCCGUAAUAC